rnacentral:rRNA from 1 species
GACGAGGGGUCCUAGCGUUGUUCGGAAUCACUGGGCGUAAAGCGUUUGUAGGCGGCUCUAUAAGUCGGGUGUGAAAUCCCAUGGCUCAACCAUGGAAGUGCAUUCGAAACUGCAGAGCUUGAAUAUGGAGGAGGAGAGUAGAAUUCCUGGUGUAGUGGUGAAAUACGUAGAUAUCAGGAGGAAUACCGGUGGCGAAGGCGGCUCUCUGGUCCAAAUAUUGACGCUGAGAAAACGAAGUGCGGGGAUCAAAACAGGA